AGAGUUUGAUCAUGGCUCAGGAUCAACGCUGGCGGCGUGCCUAAAACAUGCAAGUCGAACGGGCAGGUUUCGGCCUGUCAGUGGCGGACGGCUGAGUAACACGUGGGCGACCUGCCCACUGGUGGGGGAUAACCAUCCGAAAGGGUGGCUAAGACCGCAUACGCUCACAGCUUCGGUGGUGUGAGGAAAGCAGCGAUGCGCCGGUGGAGGGGCCCGCGGCCGAUUAGCUAGCUGGUGGGGUCACAGCCUACCAGGGCGACGAUCGGUCGCCGAUCUGAGAGGAUGAUCGGCCAGACUGGGACUGAGAGACGGCCCAGACUCCUGCGGGAGGCAGCAGUUAGGAAUUUUGGGCAAUGGGCGCAAGCCUGACCCAGCAACGCCGCGUGGGCGACGAAGCCCUUCGGGGUGUAAAGCCCUUUUCCACGGGACGAUGAUGACGGUACCGUGGGAAGAAGCCCCGGCUAACUACGUGCCAGCAGCCGCGGUAAUACGUAGGGGGCGAGCGUUGUCCGGAAUCAUUGGGCGUAAAGCGCGCGCAGGCGGCUGUGUGAGCCCGGCGUGAAAGCCCCCGGCUCAACCGGGGGAGGUCGUCGGGGGCCGCAUGGCUGGAGGCCGGCAGGGGAGAGCGGAAUUCCCGGUGUAGUGGUGGAAUGCGUAGAGAUCGGGAGGAACACCAGUGGCGAAGGCGGCUCUCUGGGCCGGACCUGACGCUCAGGCGCGAAAGCGUGGGGAGCGAUCCGGAUUAGAUACCCCGGUAGUCC
rnacentral:rRNA from 1 species